CGACAUAGUGAACGAAAAUCUGUUUGAAACGAAAAAUUUGAUACAUGAUAACACAAAUUUCGGUUACCUAAGACUCUUGAGUGACAAUCAGUUUGAUAGAGAAGUUAUAAAGAAUUUCGGUGAAGACACUGAUACGGUUAACGUGUAUGAAGAUAUAACAAUACUUGGUGAAGACGGUGAACUAAAACAUUUGAAGUACAAGUCUGCGAAACCAAAAAUUCCGGAGAAAUUUCAAAAUUUGGUGAAAAACAGUGAAAAAGGUGAAAGUGAUGAAAAAAGUGAAGGACAUGGUGAAAAAAAUUCAGUAGAUGGACAAAAGUCGAAGUUUUUUGAUGAAAUUGGGUCUUUAACUACGUAACCUUAGAGAAAAUGUUAUAACAACGAAAGUGAAAAGGAACGCAGCUCGCGCGCGACGCUUACUUCCGACUUCGGACUUCCCCUGCUAACACGUCGUGGGCACAGAUUAAACAGAUAAAAAUUAAAAAAAAAAC